rnacentral:rRNA from 1 species
UACGUAGGGGGCUAGCGUUGUCCGGAAUCAUUGGGCGUAAAGCGCGUGUAGGCGGUCCGGUAAGUCCGCUGUGAAAGUCGAGGGCUCAACCCUCGAAUGCCGGUGGAUACUGUCGGGCUUGAGUACGGGAGAGGCGAGUGGAAUUCCUGGUGUAGCGGUGAAAUGCGCAGAUAUCAGGAGGAACACCGAUUGCGAAGGCAGCUCGCUGGAACGUUACUGACGCUGAGGAGCGAAAGCCAGGGGAGCAAACGGG